GCAGUCGAACGAUGAACCACUUCGGUGGGGAUUAGUGGCGAACGGGUGAGUAACACGUGGGCAAUCUGCCCUGCACUCUGGGACAAGCCCUGGAAACGGGGUCUAAUACCGGAUACUGAUUGUCUUGGGCAUCCUUGAUGAUCGAAAGCUCCGGCGGUGCAGGAUGAGCCCGCGGCCUAUCAGCUUGUUGGUGAGGUAACGGCUCACCAAGGCGACGACGGGUAGCCGGCCUGAGAGGGCGACCGGCCACACUGGGACUGAGACACGGCCCAGACUCCUACGGGAGGCAGCAGUGGGGAAUAUUGCACAAUGGGCGCAAGCCUGAUGCAGCGACGCCGCGUGAGGGAUGACGGCCUUCGGGUUGUAAACCUCUUUCAGCAGGGAAGAAGCGAAAGUGACGGUACCUGCAGAAGAAGCGCCGGCUAACUACGUGCCAGCAGCCGCGGUAAUACGUAGGGCGCAAGCGUUGUCCGGAAUUAUUGGGCGUAAAGAGCUCGUAGGCGGCUUGUCGCGUCGGUUGUGAAAGCCCGGGGCUUAACCCCGGGUCUGCAGUCGAUACGGGCAGGCUAGAGUUCGGUAGGGGAGAUCGGAAUUCCUGGUGUAGCGGUGAAAUGCGCAGAUAUCAGGAGGAACACCGGUGGCGAAGGCGGAUCUCUGGGCCGAUACUGACGCUGAGGAGCG
rnacentral:rRNA from 1 species